AUUGAACGCUGGCGGCAGGCCUAACACAUGCAAGUCGAGCGAGCGGCGGACGGGUGAGUAAUGUCUGGGAAACUGCCUGAUGGAGGGGGAUAACUACUGGAAACGGUAGCUAAUACCGCAUACCAUCAGAUGUGCCCAUAUGGGAUUAGCUAGUAGGUGGGGUAACGGCUCACCUAGGAGACGAUCCCUAGCUGGUCGGAGAGGAUGAUCAGCCACACGGGAACUGAGACACGGUCCAGACUCCUACGGGAGGCAGCAUUGGGGAAUAUUGCACAAUGGGCGAAAGCCUGAUGCAGCCAUGCCGCGUGUGUGAAGAAGGCCUUCGGGUUGUAAAGCACUUUCAGCGGGGAGGCGUUACCCACAGAAGAAGCACCGGCUAACUCCGUGCCAGCAGCCGCGGUAAUUC
rnacentral:rRNA from 1 species